AGUAGCUCAGUUGGUAGAGCAUCAGCCUUCCAAGCUGAGGGUCGCGGGUUCGAGUCUCGUCU
rnacentral:tRNA from 1 species